rnacentral:rRNA from 1 species
CCUACGGGUGGCAGCAGUCGAGAAUCAUUCACAAUGGGGGAAACCCUGAUGGUGCGACGCCGCGUGGGGGAAUGAAGGUCUUCGGAUUGUAAACCCCUGUCAUGUGGGAGCAAAUUAAAAAGAUAGUACCACACGAGGAAGAGACGGCUAACUCUGUGCCAGCAGCCGCGGUAAUACAGAGGUCUCAAGCGUUGUUCGAAAUCACUGGGCGUAAAGCGUGCGUAGGCUGUUUCGUAAGUCGUGUGUGAAAGGCGCGGGCUCAACCCGCGGACGGCACAUGAUACUGCGAGACUAGAGUAAUGGAGGGGGAACCGGAAUUCUCGGUGUAGCAGUGAAAUGCGUAGAUAUCGAGAGGAACACUCGUGGCGAAGGCGGGUUCCUGGACAUUAACUGACGCUGAGGCACGAAGGCCAGGGGAGCGAAAGGGAUUAGAUACCCCAGUAGUC